CACGUAGGGACCAAGCGUUGUCCGGAUUCAUUGGGCGUAAAGAGCUCGUAGGCGGUUCAGUAAGUCGGGUGUGAAACCUCCAGGCUCAACCUGGAGACGCCACCCGAUACUGCUGUGACUAGAGUCCAGUAGGGGAGCGUGGAAUUCCUGGUGUAGCGGUGAAAUGCGCAGAUAUCAGGAGGAACACCAGCGGCGAAGGCGGUGCUCUGGGCCGGAACUGACGCUGAGGAGCGAAAGCGUGGGGAGCGAACAGG
rnacentral:rRNA from 1 species